rnacentral:rRNA from 1 species
AUUGAACGCUGGCGGCAUGCCUUACACAUGCAAGUCGAACGGUAACAGGUCUUCGGAUGCUGACGAGUGGCGAACGGGUGAGUAAUACAUCGAAACGUGCCCGAUCGUGGGGGAUAACGAAGCGAAAGCUUUGCUAAUACCGCAUACGAUCUACGGAUGAAAGCAGGGGACCGCAAGGCCUUGCGCGAACGGAGCGGCCGAUGGCAGAUUAGGUAGUUGGUGGGGUAAAGGCUUACCAAGCCUACGAUCUGUAGCUGGUCUGAGAGGACGACCAGCCACACUGGGACUGAGACACGGCCCAGACUCCUACGGGAGGCAGCAGUGGGGAAUUUUGGACAAUGGGCGCAAGCCUGAUCCAGCAAUGCCGCGUGCAGGAUGAAGGCCUUCGGGUUGUAAACUGCUUUUGUACGGAACGAAAAGGCUCUGGUUAAUACCUGGGGCUCAUGACGGUACCGUAAGAAUAAGCACCGGCUAACUACGUGCCAGCCGCCGCUGUAAAAC